rnacentral:ncRNA from 2 species
AAAGUCCCUACGAGGUAAGGCUGGCGGGCCGCUUCGUCCCCGAGUCAUGCGCGACUGUCCGCAAGGGCCGCCGUGAAGUGUUGACAGGGGUGUCUGCAGGCGAAGUAUCGAGCUGCGAAAUCAUUAGUUGGAGAGGCAGAUGCUGUUAAGCGAAGCAGAAUGCAACAUGACCAGUACCGUCAAACCGCAAGGUAUGGGCCACUCUCCCGCAGUCGUAGACCU